UGCCUUACACAUGCAAGUCGAACGCGAAAGCGGGGCAACCCGCAAGUAGAGUGGCGAACGGGUGAGUAAUACAUCGGAACGUGUCCAGUAGCGGGGGAUAACCUCUCGAAAGAGAGGCUAAUACCGCAUACGACCUACGGGUGAAAGAGGGGGAUCGCAAGACCUCUCACUAUUGGAGCGGCCGAUGUCGGAUUAGCUAGUUGGCGGGGUAAAAGCCCACCAAGGCGACGAUCCGUAGCUGGUCUGAGAGGACGACCAGCCACACUGGAACUGAGACACGGUCCAGACUCCUACGGGAGGCAGCAGUGGGGAAUUUUGGACAAUGGGCGCAAGCCUGAUCCAGCCAUGCCGCGUGAGUGAAGAAGGCCUUCGGGUUGUAAAGCUCUUUCGGCUGGGACGAAAAGGUUCGUGUCAACACCACGGAUCCAUGACGGUACCAGCAGAAGAAGCACCGGCUAACUACGUGCCAGCAGCCGCGGUAAUACGUAGGGUGCAGGCGUUAAUCGGAAUUACUGGGCGUAAAGCGUGCGCAGGCGGUUUGCUAAGACAGGUGUGAAAUCCCCGGGCUUAACCUGGGAACUGCGCUUGUAACUGGCAAGCUGGAGUGUGGCAGAGGGGGGUGGAAUUCCACGUGUAGCAGUGAAAUGCGUAGAGAUGUGGAGGAACACCGAUGGCGAAGGCAGCCCCCUGGGCUAACACUGACGCUCAUGCACGAAAGCGUGGGGAGCAAACAGGAUUAGAUACCCUGGUAGUCCACGCCCUAAACUAUGUCAACUGGUUGUCGGGGAAGCAAUUCCUUGGUAACGAAGCUAACGCGUGAAGUUGACCGCCUGGGGAGUACGGCCGCAAGGUUAAAACUCAAAGGAAUUGACGGGGACCCGCACAAGCGGUGGAUUAUGUGGAUUAAUUCGAUGCAACGCGAAAA
rnacentral:rRNA from 1 species